GCGUAACACCAUUCCAUUUCCAUCAGACCGACAAGAAAUUUCUCAAAAUCCAUCUGUUGGGCCAUAAAACUUUAGACAUGUUGAGGUGGGUCUUGAAAGUAUUAGGUCGGUUCAUUGGGCCAGCCCAUUGAGUGGAUAUUAUCUUUAUUUAGGGCCUAUGAAGUAUUGGGCUGUGACAGUGGGCCGAAUGACUAGAUGAG
rnacentral:lncRNA from 1 species